AUUGAACGCUGGCGGCAGGCCUAACACAUGCAAGUCGAGCGGAUGAAGAGAGCUUGCUCUCUGAUUUAGCGGCGGACGGGUGAGUAAUGCCUAGGAAUCUGCCUGGUAGUGGGGGAUAACGUUCCGAAAGGAACGCUAAUACCGCGUACGUCCUACGGGAGAAAGCAGGGGACCUUCGGGCCUUGCGCUAUCAGAUGAGCCUAGGUCGGAUUAGCUAGUUGGUGAGGUAAUGGCUCACCAAGGCGACGAUCCGUAACUGGUCUGAGAGGAUGAUCAGUCACACUGGAACUGAGACACGGUCCAGACUCCUACGGGAGGCAGCAGUGGGGAAUAUUGGACAAUGGGCGAAAGCCUGAUCCAGCCAUGCCGCGUGUGUGAAGAAGGUCUUCGGAUUGUAAAGCACUUUAAGUUGGGAGGAAGGGCAGUAAGUUAAUACCUUGCUGUUUGACGUACCGACAGAAUAAGC
rnacentral:rRNA from 1 species